GAGGAGUUUGAUCCUGGCUCAGGAUGAACGCUGGCGGCGUGCCUAAUACAUGCAAGUCGAGCGAACAGAUGAGAAGCUUGCUUCUCUGAUGUUAGCGGCGGACGGGUGAGUAACACGUGGGUAACCUACCUAUAAGACUGGGAUAACUCCGGGAAACCGGGGCUAAUACCGGAUAAUAUUUUGAACCGCAUGGUUCAAUAGUGAAAGACGGUUUCGGCUGUCACUUAUAGAUGGACCCGCGCCGUAUUAGCUAGUUGGUAAGGUAACGGCUUACCAAGGCGACGAUACGUAGCCGACCUGAGAGGGUGAUCGGCCACACUGGAACUGAGACACGGUCCAGACUCCUACGGGAGGCAGCAGUAGGGAAUCUUCCGCAAUGGGCGAAAGCCUGACGGAGCAACGCCGCGUGAGUGAUGAAGGUCUUCGGAUCGUAAAACUCUGUUGUUAGGGAAGAACAAAUAUUUUAGUAACUGAACAA
rnacentral:rRNA from 2 species